rnacentral:tRNA from 1 species
GGACUCGUAGUGUAGCUUGGAUAUCACUGGGGCCUCCGGAGCCUCAAACGGGGGUUCGAAUCCCCCCGGGUCCG